rnacentral:rRNA from 1 species
AACUUUCAACAACGGAUCUCUUGGCUCUCGCAUCGAUGAAGAACGCAGCGAAAUGCGAUAAGUAAUGUGAAUUGCAGAAUUCAGUGAAUCAUCGAAUCUUUGAACGCACCUUGCGCUCCUUGGUAUUCCAAGGAGCAUGCCUGUUUGAGUGUCAUU